rfam:Nannochloropsis gaditana CCMP526 unplaced genomic scaffold scaffold041, whole genome shotgun sequence.
AGCAGCGUAGCUCAGAGGAAGAGUGUAGGGCCCAUAACCCUAAUGUCGUACGAUCGAAACGUACCGCUGCUA